ACAACCAUAUCACAUUAAAACACUGGUUCCUAUUUGAUUACCAAAAUUAAGCAAUGUCUAGCCUUGUCACUACUUGGAAGGGUGACCGCUUGGGAAUACCAGGUGCUGUAAG